rnacentral:lncRNA from 1 species
GUUAACUAACUGGUUUUGUUUGGUGGAAGACAUUUAAAGAAAUGGGACCACUUAGUAAUUUAUGGCUGGUAAAAAUAAUAUUUCCUUUCAGAAAAAAACCCCNAAACCCUGCUGAUCAGACCCUUUGAACACUGUGGUCAAGAUGUAAAGAAGAAUCAGACCAGAUAUGGUUAUUCUACUUUUGCCUAUUAAGAGGAAAAAAUACUUUCUUUGAUAGAGGAGGGAAUUAUUGAUACGUAUUCCUCUCUGCUUGCUAUUUUUUCCUGCUGCUUAUUCUGCCUUUUUCCCCGAGUGUGUGCACGCGUGUGCGUGUGUNGGUGAUUUCACCUUGAGUCUUUCUCAUCUGUAAGCAGCGCAAGUAUUCGUGCUGAAAGGCAACAUUGAGUCCAGCGACUGGUGCGUUUCUGGGGAAGGGGGCUGGCGCAGCUCCUGUCCUCCUCUGCCUUGGCCCCCCCACCCCACGGCUUUGUUCUGCUUAAGUCAGGCACACAGGCAUUGGGAAAUAUCUGUACGCCGGGGCGAGGAGCACAGAGGGACGAUUGUCACCCAGCAGGGCCCAGCUGGGACGUAACAAAAAUAGCUUUUUGCCUGUGCAACUGGCAACACCGUGCAGCUGCUGGGUGUACCAGCCGCCCUGCCCAGCGCGCUGGAACUGUGGCUGCCGUUGGCCCUGCUGGGGUUUCCUUCUGCAUCUGUGAAGGUCUGGCUGCAGAAGAGAACGUGAAUGUUGAACCCUGUGCAAANGAAGAAUUCCAUGCGGACGGCACUGGUGGCUGGACGCGGCAUCCUUUCUCCACGCUGUUGGAAUGAGGGAGGACUCGGCUGGCAAGUCGGAUGCUUGUUGUGGCUGCUGAGGCGGAGGAAAGGAAGUGAGCCAGCGGGCAGCAGAGGUAGAAUUAAAGGCAGGUGAGAUGCUGAAGGCUGCAGUUCUGUGCAAAUCUGGCACAACAGGGGUGCAGCCCAGUAACAUCUAGAAGAUUAGGGGUUUAUUCUGAAGUCAUCUGGAGGGUUAAUGAGGUUCUACUAUUAGACCCCAGUGUAAAAC